rnacentral:rRNA from 1 species
UACAGAGGUCUCAAGCGUUGUUCGGAUUCAUUGGGCGUAAAGGGUGCGUAGGCGGCGCGGUAAGUCGGGCGUGAAAUCUCGGAGCUUAACUCCGAAACUGCAUUCGAGACUGCCGUGCUUGAGGACUGGAGAGGAGACUGGAAUUUACGGUGUAGCGGUGAAAUGCGUAGAUAUCGUAAGGAAGACCAGUGGCGAAGGCGGGUCUCUGGACAGUUCCUGACGCUGAGGCACGAAGGUCAGGGGAGCAAACGGG